rnacentral:rRNA from 1 species
CAGUAGCCGCGGUAAUACGAAGGGGGCUAGCGUUGCUCGGAAUGACUGGGCGUAAAGGGCGCGUAGGCGGCUCAUACAGUCAGGCGUGAAAGCCCUGGGCUCAACCUGGGGUGGUCGCUUGAGACGUGUGGGCUAGAGUGGGGAAGAGGGUCGUGGAAUUCCCAGUGUAGAGGUGAAAUUCGUAGAUAUUGGGAAGAACACCGGUGGCGAAGGCGGCGACCUGGUCCUUUUACUGACGCUGAGGCGCGAAAGCGUGGGGAGCAAACAGGAUUAGAUACCCCGGUAGUCCCUGUCUCUUAUA